rnacentral:rRNA from 1 species
UACAGAGGGGGCAAGCGUUAUUCGGAAUUAUUAGGCGUAAAGGGCGCGUAGGCGGCCUUGCAAGUGGCGGGUGAAAUCCCUCGGCUUAACCGAGGAACUGCCUGCCAGACUGCAAGGCUCGAGACCGGGAGAGGUGAGUGGAAUUCCCAGUGUAGCGGUGAAAUGCGUAGAUAUUGGGAGGAACACCAGUGGCGAAGGCGGCUCACUGGACCGGAACUGACGCUGAGGCGCGAAAGCGUGGGGAGCAAACAGG